UCUAUCAAUAUUCAGUUUCCCCUUUUUUCUCUUCCUCAACUUCUCCUUUUUUUCUUCUCCACUUUUGUUUCUCCUCCUUUAUUUUUUUGCAUCCAUGCCGUUUUUGUUUCUCCUCCUUUAUUCUUUUGCGUCCGUCCAUAUGUUGUUUCACGUUAAUAUUCUAUUUUUCCCUUUUUUGUCUAAUUUUUUGUGGUUUGAUUUUUAGGACAGUCUAACGACGGUGCUGAAGGUUACGAGGCUUUGCCCAUGGGAGAGUUGGGAUAGGCUACUAAAGAAUAAAGAGAAGUUGGAAGAACACAUUAAAGCUACCAUUUUUAUCUCAAAAACUCCAUGACUACAGGCUAACGAUAGUGCUGAAGGUGUCGAAGAAUAAAGAUACUGUGAGCAAUCUGUAGAAUUGCAACUAUGGGGAUGAUGAAGCUGCAACUGAGGAGGUGAAAAAGAGUUACCAUGUUCUGAGAAAAAUAGACUGAUGAUGACCCCAUUUUGAUUGAUGGAGAAAUUUUUAUGUUACUUUGUUUUGACAGUUUAAAAUUGUAAUUUAAUCAUUAUGGUUUCCAGAUAAUGCAUUUUAUUGUUUAC